UUGGAGGCAAUGAUGGUAUGAACUACCUAUUUUAUAAGGGAAUGAAGAAUUUUCUACAAAACUACCAAUGGAUCCUUCUGAGCUUUUCU
rfam:Glycine max cultivar Williams 82 chromosome 10, whole genome shotgun sequence.